rnacentral:rRNA from 1 species
GUGUCAGCCGCCGCGGUAAUACGUAGGGUGCAAGCGUUAAUCGGAAUUACUGGGCGUAAAGCGUGCGCAGGCGGUUUUGUAAGACAGAUGUGAAAUGCCCGGGCUUAACCUGGGAACUGCAUUUGUGACUGCAAGGCUAGAGUUUGGCAGAGGGGGGUAGAAUUCCACGUGUAGCAGUGAAAUGCGUAGAUAUGUGGAGGAAUACCGAUGGCGAAGGCAGCCCCCUGGGUCAAGACUGACGCUCAUGCACGAAAGCGUGGGGAGCAAACAGGAUUAGAUACCCUCGUAGUCC